rnacentral:rRNA from 1 species
GAUCAUGGCUCAGAUUGAACGCUGGCGGCAGGCCUAACACAUGCAAGUCGAGCGGAUGAAGAGAGCUUGCUCUCUGAUUCAGCGGCGGACGGGUGAGUAAUGCCUAGGAAUCUGCCUGAUAGUGGGGGACAACGUUUCGAAAGGAACGCUAAUACCGCAUACGUCCUACGGGAGAAAGCAGGGACCUUCGGCUUGCGCUAUCAGAUGAGGCCUAGGUCGGAGUUAG